AGAGCAGAUUGAGCAGUCGCGGGUAAAGUUCCGAAAGGACUUAUCCGAGGAAAGUCCGAGCUCCAUAGAGCAAGAAUAACGGCUAACGGCCGCCGGGGGCGACCCCAGGGACAGUGCAACAGAAAUAAACCGCCUGAAAAGGUAAGGAUGGAAAGGUGAGGUAAGAGCUCACCGGAGGUGGGGAGACUCACCUGCCGUGUAAACCCUAUUCGGAGCAACACCGUGGAAAGGACGUAUACGCUUGCUCGGCGUGUCCGAUGGAGGUGGCAUCGAGCAGCGGUGGCAACACCCUGCCAAGAUAGAUGACUGCUUUUAACAGAACUCGGCUUAUAGAUUUGGUCUGUAU
rnacentral:RNase_P_RNA from 1 species